rnacentral:rRNA from 1 species
GAUGAACGCUGGCGGCGUGCCUAAUACAUGCAAGUCGAGCGAACAGAUAAGGAGCUUGCUCCUUUGACGUUAGCGGCGGACGGGUGAGUAACACGUGGGUAACCUACCUAUAAGACUGGGAUAACUUCGGGAAACCGGAGCUAAUACCGGAUAAUAUUUCGAACCGCAUGGUUCGAUAGUGAAAGAUGGUUUUGCUAUCACUUAUAGAUGGACCCGCGCCGUAUUAGCUAGUUGGUAAGGUAACGGCUUACCAAGGCGACGAUACGUAGCCGACCUGAGGGGGUAAUCGGCCACACUGGAACUGAGACACGGUCCAGACUCCUACGGGAGGCAGCAGUAGGGAAUCUUCCGCAAUGGGCGAAAGCCUGACGGAGCAACGCCGCGUGAGUGAUGAAGGUCUUCGGAUCGUAAAACUCUGUUAUUAGGGAAGAACAUACGUGUAAGUAACUGUGCACGUCUUGACGGUACCUAAUCAGAAAGCCACGGCUAACUACGUG